CCUCUCCACCAAAAGUUCCAUCCUCCCAUCUUUACAACAUUACAAGCCAAAUGUGUUGUUAGUGUCAUCCGUUUUAGCACCUUCUGACAAUGUAUAAUCUCAAGAAACACAUUACUAAUGUUACACAAAUGUACGAUGUUCCUAGGCCACCCAAGAGCGGCAUCCUCUCUAGAUCUCUGGUCCCACUCUAGUCAACUUGAAAUUGGAGAUCCUAGCCACAAGAUUGUCCUCAAGAAAGUAAGGUGGCCAGAAGUAGAUAGAUAGGGAUGUGAACGGGCGGAUUCAAUGCGGUUAACUAGUGAAAGAACCAAAACCAAAACCAAAACUAAAACCAAAUUCCAAUACCGGCCC
rnacentral:lncRNA from 1 species